GACGAAGAACGUAGCGAAAUGCGAUAAGUAGUGUGAAUUGCAGAAUUCAGUGAAUCAUCGAAUCUUUGAACGCACAUUGCGCCCUUUGGUAUUCCUUAGGGCAUGCCUGUUCGAGCGUCAUUUAAACCUUCAAGCUAAGCUUGGUGUUGGGUGACUGUCCGCUUCACGGCGGACUCGCCUCAAAAUUAUUGGCGGCCGGUACAUUGGCUUCGAGCGCAGCAGAAACGCGAACUCGGGCCCGUCGUAUUGGCUCCCAGAAGCUAUCUUCACAAUUUUGACCUCGGAUCAGGUAGGGAUACCCGCUGAACUUAAGCAUAUCAAUAAGCGGAGGA
rnacentral:misc_RNA from 1 species